UAUUUACAAUCAAUGUUGUUCUCGUAUUCACACCUAUUGUUGGCCGACACUAGAACUCACGUGUUUUCCCAACAAUUACCGGAUAUAAAUUUGACCCUUCCGUCGUCUUUGAACAACAUACUCAGUUCUGCAGGUCAAUCGUUGCAAUCCUACUAUCCACAUUAAAUUUAUAACGGUGGCAUAGGAACAUAGGCGGGUGGAAGUUUGUGCUUAACUUUAGUUAAGAAUGAAGACAAGAUGGACUUCAGCAGGAUCUUGGAAGCUAUUAAACCAACUUCAAUGACAGGUAUGAUGAGACCAGGAAGAAGUCGGGUGGUGGAGUAAUAGGCUCAUGUUUGGUUUUGUCAGGUGUUUAUGCACU